CUAGGGGUCGGGGCAACCACUGGAAACGGUGGCUAAUACCGGAUAAGCCUUUGGGUAAAAGAUUUAUUGCCCCAAGAGGAGCUCGCGUCUGAUUAGCUAGUUGGUGAGGUAAAAGCUCACCAAGGCAGCGAUCAGUAGCUGGUCUGAGAGGACGAUCAGCCACACUGGGACUGAGACACGGCCCAGACUCCUACGGGAGGCAGCAGUGGGGAAUUUUCCGCAAUGGGCGAAAGCCUGACGGAGCAAGACCGCGUGAGGGAGGAAGGCUCUUGGGUUGUAAACCUCUUUUCUCAGGGAAGAAGCUCUGACGGUACCUGAGGAAUCAGCCUCGGCUAACUCCGUGCCAGCAGCCGCGGUAAUACGGAGGAGGCAAGCGUUAUCCGGAAUUAUUGGGCGUAAAGCGUCCGCAGGUGGCGAUUCAAGUCUGCUGUCAAAGCACGGGGCUUAACUCCGUUAAGGCCGUGGAAACUGAAUAGCUAGAGUGCCGUAGGGGUAGAGGGAAUUCCCGGUGUAGCGGUGAAAUGCGUAGAGAUCGGGAAGAACAUCGGUGGCGAAAGCGCUCUACUGGACGGCAACUGACGCUCAGGGACGAAAGCUAGG
rnacentral:rRNA from 1 species